UGAAGAACCAACAUAGCAUAUGUAAAGUUGAAGUAAUUCCUGCACUUGCUGGUAGCCCACAAGAAAGCAUUUUCUUUUUCUUUCUUUUUUUUAAUAUUUAGUUGUAGAUGGACAAAAUACCUUUAUUUUAUUUUUAUGUGGUGCUGAGGAUCGAACUAGUGUCUCACGUGCACCAGGUGGGCGCUGUACCCCUGAGCCACACCCCCAGCCCAAAGAAAGCACUUUUUAACAGCUCGGAGUACAACUUUCCAGAUUGUUUUUCCUAAGAACAUGUGAGUAUGUAUAUAUUUACAUGUUUUUUAUUGCAUCAUGUUAUAGACAGUCCUGCAGUUUUUCUCUUGUCAGUUUUUAUAAUGGACUUUUUUUUCAUGUCAGUACACAUAGAGGAAGAAGCUCAUUGCUUAUAAUUACUCAGCAGAAGUUACUUCAGUGGGUAAUUCUCUGAUUAUUUCACUAUUUCUGUUGUGUUUUUUGUUGUUUGUUUAAAUAUUUCUUACAUCAGUUUUGGAAUUUUAUAUUUUUACAAGAAUGUAUCCUUGUUUUUAUUUUAUUACCUUAUAGUUAAUCAUAAUAUUGUUCUGUUUACAUUAUUUAGUCUGUACUUUGUCUGAUGUUAUUUCCCCUUAAAUCUGACAUCCUGGGGUCUGGAGUCACCAUACCCUUUAGAGGUUUUUAUUAGCUGAUCAGAAUUUUGGAGAACUAUAUUGGAUGCCUAAUAUAGAUUAGGAUUCUACCAUGACACAUUAUCUUGAAAUAUUCUUUCCUGCUUUGACAAAAUCAUGGAGAAAAGAAUAAUAAGAACACUUUCUCUGAUGCUUUUCAUUAGGCAUUUCAAGUUAUGUGAAGGCUAUGAUGAGUCAUACUGAAGUUCUAGAACAUCAGUUUAGGCGAAACAAAAUUUUUUUUCUCUAUUGUUCCCUCAUAUUCUCUGGGGAGUUUCAAAUCUUAGUCACCUCUUAUUUAGAUAUGAUGUGUACUCAAAAGUUCAUACAUAAGACAAUGCAAGAAAGUUUAGAGGUGAAAUGAUUAAGUUAUGAGAUCCUUAACCUAUAUCAGUGUGUUAAUCCAUUGAUAGUAAUUAACUAAAUGGUAAUUGUAGACAGGUGGGGUGUGGCUGGAGAAGGUGGGUCAUUGGGGGCAUGCCUAGGGUACAUAGAGCACAUAUUUUGUCAGUGGUGAGGACAGUCUCUGCUUUUUGGUGGCUAUGUCCUAAGCCACUCUCCUCCACCACACUCUUCUGCCAUCAUGUUCUGCCUUAUCUAGAGCUCAGAGGAAUGGAGUCGGCCAUCUAUGGACUAAGACCUCUGAAACUGUGAAUCCCUAGUAUACUUUUCCUCUAAAAAUUUUCUUGGUUACAGCAGCGAAAAACCCAAAACAUCACCCAACCCAGAAAACAGGGACCUACCUAGUUAAAUCUGGGCAAAAUAGUCUGUCUUUCCCUAUGGCACCUGGAAAUCAUAUGAGAACACACCAGUGCACUCAGGUAUGGAUUAUAGUUUCUUUUGGAAGUUGAGAUGUUAAUCAUCAUACUGUGUUAUUUUUCCCUGCAGUAUUGUGAUUUAAGCUAUUAGAAAAUUUGAUAUCAGUUGGAGUUUCAAUGAUGAUCAUAUGUGGAGAUAAAUGUCCCUGCAUUCAGGACUGCAUUUGAUGGAUCAAGACUUGUUAUACUUCCUUUACAACAAUAAGGAUGAUAUAUCUGUAGUGGGAGCUCUCCUUCUUGUAACAAUUAUGAGCAGUUCAGAAGCUACUUCACAUUUCUUUAGACUAUAGCAACAUGUUGGUGUUUUUUUGUUUUUGUUUUUGUUUUUUUUUUAAGCUUGAAAUGUAGGCCACAAAGUCCGAUUGAUACUAUGAAUGUGUGUGUGUGUGUUGACAUGGGUGCAGGCAUGCCAUCAAUGUUUGUAUACCUGCUUUUAUUCUCUGCUUUGAGUUCUCCUUUCAGGGUACUAUAUUUGAAGAUACCUGACAACUUCAUCCAUAGUUGUCAAAGAAACCAGUCUUCAACUUGUACAAAAGAUUCUUUUAUUUUAUCUAUUUGUUCACAGUAUUUGGAAGGUUAAACAUGUCUGUUGAAAACCUUAACCUUCUCAUCUAUUAAAAACAUUUAUACCAAAUAUUGUUAGUUUCUAAGUAAGUAUCUUUUUAUAUGCAACCUUGAAAUUUUUUUCUUAUACCUUCAGGAGGAUUUCUCCCUCUUGAAAUAUGAAUUCCUAAAGGCCAUUUGGUAUUUACAUAGACAAUUGCUUAGAAGAUUUCUAUCCUACAUUAGAAGGCAAUGUCUUCUAGAAUUUAAAGUAGCUUGCCAGGUUUGGCUACUUCAUAAGUGACUUUCUGUCUCAAGCUUGCAUUACAGUUAAUACAUUAAUACAUACAUAAAUAGUACAGUGGGUCUUUGGUGACACAGGUAAGGUAAGAC
rnacentral:lncRNA from 1 species